UACGGGGGGGGCAAGCGUUGUUCGGAAUUACUGGGCGUAAAGGGCUCGUAGGUGGCCAACUAAGUCAGACGUGAAAUCCCUCGGCUUAACCGGGGAACUGCGUCUGAUACUGGAUGGCUUGAGUUUGGGAGAGGGACGCGGAAUUCCAGGUGUAGCGGUGAAAUGCGUAGAGAUGUGGAGGAACACCGAUGGCGAAGGCAGCCCCCUGGGUCAAGAUUGACGCUCAUGCACGAAAGCGUGGGGAGCAAACAGG
rnacentral:rRNA from 1 species